rnacentral:rRNA from 1 species
GUCUAUUAGGUAUUUAUUUAUAGUCUAGCCUGCUCACUGAUAAAUUAUUAAAGAGCCGCAGUAUCAUGACUGUGCAAAGGUAGCAUAAUCAUUAGUUUUUUAAUUAAAAGCUUGUAUGAAUGGUUGGACAAGAAAAAUUCUGUCUUUAUAAUAAAAAUUGAAUCUAACUUUUAAGUGAAAAGGCUUAAAUUUUUCAAAGGGACGAUAAGACCCUAAAAGCUUUAUAAGUUAUUAAAAUUUAAUGAAAUUAGUAUAAUAAUUAUUUAAUUUUAGUAUUUUAUUUUGUUGGGGCGACAUAGGUAUAAAUAAAAUAACUGCUUAUAUUUAAUACAUCUAUAAUUGAAGCGUUAAAUGAUCCUUAUUAAAGAUUAAAGAUUAAGUUACUUUAGGGAUAACAGCGUUAUUUUCUUUGAGAGUUCAUAUCGAAAAGAAAGUUUGCGACCUCGAUGUUGAAUUAAAUAUCUUCUUAAUGUAGCCGUUAAGAGAAGAAGGUCUGUUCGACCUUUAAAUUUUUACAUGAUUUGAGUUCAGACCGGCGUAAGCCAGG